UAUAUGUUUUAUUAACAGCUUCAGCGAUACACAAAGAAUAACUACAGCACUCAAACUAAGGCUCCUAUUUACUUACGCCUUUUGAAAUAAACCUGCACUGGCGUAAUUAUUCCAAUACACAGCAAAGGAUAAUAGCUUGUUAAUUAAUGCAUAUAGAUACAUUGCUUCAGGAAGGAUUUUAAAUAGAAGAUACUGAACCCCACUAUUAAAGGUAACAGGGAAAUCCCACAGACAGCAAUGUUUGUAACACACUUGCUUCAGCUUCCUGCUUUUGUUAAGGGGAUUUGUUUCACAGAGGUUUCUGAGGCUAUUACUUACAUCCCCUAUUUAAGUUUACUAGUAAGGAAUGAGCAGUUCUGUUCCCUCAACACCACUGCAACCCUUCCCCCCAGAAUAAAAAUUUUAGUGUAUAGGUCAGGAGGUGUAGAGGGUAAAAAAAAUAGAGAAAAAGGAAAAAAAACAAAAAGACCAAUGCAAUGGCCUUCAUGUUUCUUGUCUCAGCUCCUCCCCUUCCUGCCAAGUGCCUCAUUAAGGUGGUAGUGAGCAAAGCUCUUCUCACCUGGGAGCUGCUUUGUGCUUCUGGGUGAUGCAGCAGGUUCUCAGUUUCAGAGCUCUGGUUUAAGAUCAAAUCACCCUGAGGUGGAAGACUUGAAGCUGAAGAGGUUCCAGGUGAUCCUGAACUGCAUGCUUUGUUGUUCUCUCCUAGGAGAUGAUGAGAAGCACUAAACCUAUGUCAGGUGUUUCCUGCCCACCACCUCCAGGACCAUUCUUCUUUCCCAGAAGCCCUGCUUUCCUUGCAUUCUUGCCUGCAAUUCUUCAGGAGAUAGAAUCUAAAGAAUUUUAAAUUCUUUAAAACGAAUCUCCUGCCAAAAUUCAGGUUUCUGCCUUGCUCUCAAAAUGGACUAAGCAAAACAUGUGGCUCCAGAUAUUCCCAAACUUAGGUGAGUUGCCUCUCUAAAGCACACCCCAUAUGUGGUGAGUUCCCAAUACUGCUUUUCGUUCCCAAGAAUUGUUUGAUUUGCACUCAUGGCCUUUGAGGAAUGUACUGAUAAAGAUGCUUUUCUACAAAGCAGCCCCCAGGCUGGACUGGUUCUGGGUUUCUGGUGUGCACCAGGCAUGGGGAGCUUGUUUGGGGUGCUCAAUGGGCCCAAAUGCAGGGAGGCUGUGGAUGCUCUGGCUCUGGAGGUAUCUGAGGGAAGCAGGAUGGAGCCCUGGGCAAACUGGGCUAGCAGGUCUGCAGGUUGGUGGCCCUGCUUGUGGCAGGGGGUUGGAACUCAAUGAUCCUUGGGGUCCCUUCUAACCCUUCUAUGGUCCCUGUUGUGCUGUGGUUGAUGGCGGUCUUUCUUUGAGCUGGAAGUGCACAAGAGUCGUGUGAAGGCACGUCAAUGGGGCGCCCGGUUUGCGGGAUGAGCUCAUGACGCUCAAAGCGCAACCUGGAUGAGCAAACCCUGCCCUGCCCGCCAAGAAUGGCAGCGUUUGCACAAAUGUCUGCCAACCGAUGACUUUCACGAGAUUUUCAACAGAUGGUGCCGAAGCGACGGCCGGUGGGUGCAGGAGGGCCGGGCCGGGGCUCUGCGCGGGGAAAGGCGGCUAAAAAUGGCUCCGAGGGGGGAACGGCAGUGAGGGUGAAAUCAGAGCCCGAGCGUGCGGGUGGGAUGGAAGCGUCCAGGAGGGCGGGGAAGGCGCAGCGGGAAGCUGUGCGACGGCAGCGCGAGGAAAUGGCAGGAGGGAGAGAGGGAAGGAGGGAGGGGAGGGGAAAA